rnacentral:rRNA from 1 species
CCCUUAGAUGUUCUGGGCUGCACGCGCGCUACACUGAAGCGUUCAACGAGUAUUCACCUUGCCCGGGAGGGUUGGGUAAUCUUUUGAAAACGCUUCGUGAUGGGGAUAGAUUAUUGCAAUUAUUAAUCUUCAACGAGGAAUUCCUAGUAAGCGCGAGUCAUCAGCUCGUGCUGAUUACGUCCCUGCCCUUUGUACACACCGCCCGUCGCACCUACCGAUUGAAUGGUCCGGUGAAAUCUCCGGACUGGCGUGAGUCGGAGCAAUCUGACAAACACCGGAAAGUUGAUUAAACCUUACCAUUUAGAGGAAGGUGAAGUCGUANCA